rnacentral:rRNA from 1 species
AAAGAGCUCGUAGGUGGUUUGUCGCGUUGUUCGUGAAAUCUCACGGCUUAACUGUGAGCGUGCGGGCGAUACGGGCAGACUUGAGUACUGCAGGGGAGACUGGAAUUCCUGGUGUAGCGGUGGAAUGCGCAGAUAUCAGGAGGAACACCGGUGGCGAAGGCGGGUCUCUGGGCAGUAACUGACGCUGAGGAGCGAAAGCGUGGGGAGCGAACAGGAUUAGAUACCCUGGUAGUCCACGCCGUAAACGGUGGGUACUAGGUGUGGGUUUCCUUCCUUGGGAUCCGUGCCGUAGCUAACGCAUUAAGUACCCCGCCUGGGGAGUACGGCCGCAAGGCUAAAACUCAAAGAAAUUGACGGGGGCCCGCACAAGCGGCGGAGCAUGUGGAUUAAUUCGAUGCAACGCGAAGAACCUUACCUGGGUUCGACAUGCACAGGACGCCGGCAGAGAUGUCGGUUCCCUUGUGGCCUGUGUGCAGGUGGUGCAUGGCUGUCGUCAGCUCGUGUCGUGAGAUGUUGGGUUAAGUCCCGCAACGAGCGCAACCCUUGUCUCAUGUUGCCAGCGGGUAAUGCCGGGGACUCGUGAGAGACUGCCGGGGUCAACUCGGAGGAAGGUGGGGAUGACGUCAAGUCAUCAUGCCCCUAUGUCCAGGGCUUCACACAUGCUACAAUGGCCGGUACAAAGGGCUGCGAUGCCGCGAGGUUAAGCGAAUCCUUUUAAAGCCGGUCUCAGUUCGGAUCGGGGUCUGCAACUCGACCCCGUGAAGUCGGAGUCGCUAGUAAUCGCAGA